GACGAACGCUGGCGGCGUGCUUAACACAUGCAAGUCGAACGGAAAGGCCCUUCGGGGUGCUCGAGUGGCGAACGGGUGAGUAACACGUGGGUGAUCUGCCCUGCACUUUGGGAUAAGCCUGGGAAACUGGGUCUAAUACCGAAUAUGAUCAUCGGCUUCAUGGUCGGUGGUGGAAAGCGUUUGCGGUGUGGGAUGGGCCCGCGGCCUAUCAGCUUGUUGGUGGGGUAAUGGCCUACCAAGGCGACGACGGGUAGCCGGCCUGAGAGGGUGACCGGCCACACUGGGACUGAGAUACGGCCCAGACUCCUACGGGAGGCAGCAGUGGGGAAUAUUGCACAAUGGGCGCAAGCCUGAUGCAGCGACGCCGCGUGAGGGAUGACGGCCUUCGGGUUGUAAACCUCUUUCAGCACAGACGAAGCGCAAGUGACGGUAUGUGCAGAAGAAGGACCGGCCAACUACGUGCCAGCCGCCGCCGUAAGAC
rnacentral:rRNA from 1 species